rnacentral:rRNA from 1 species
UGUCUAGCGGCGAACGGGUGAGUAACACGUGGGCAACCUGCCCUCAGCUCUGGGAUAACUCCAAGAAAUUGGGGCUAAUACCGGAUAUGACCGCUGACCGCAGUGGUCUGGUGGUGGAAAGAUUUAUCGGCUGGGGAUGGGCCCGCGGCCUAUCAGGCUUGUUGGUGGGGUAGUGGCCUACCAAGGCGACGACGGGUAGCCGGCCUGAGAGGGUGACCGGCCACACUGGGACUGAGACACGGCCCAGACUCCUACGGGAGGCAGCAGGGGGGAAUAUUGCGCAAUGGGCGGAAGCCUGACGCAAGCGACGCCGCGUGGGGGAUGACGGCCUUCGGGUUGUAAACCUCUUUCAGCAGGGACGAAGCGAAAGUGACGGUACCUGCAGAAGAAGCACCGGCCAACUACGUGCCAGCCGCAGC